UUGCAACAUACCAAAUGUUGCCCGAUUACAGAGAUUUUGAGACAGAGUCUACAGAGACUUUAUCAUGUAUGCUCGUUGUCAAUGCACGGCAGUGUUUGUUUACUCUAUGUAACUUUUACCUUUUGUGCAGAUUUCAGGCCUGAGCCAGCCAUCGUAACCACAAGAUGUGCAAGUUUUCAUACUGACCUAUCAUCAUCAAUGAUCUCAGCAUCAUCAAUUAGAUAAACAGCUCCUAGCUUAAUUGGGAAAACUCUGUCCUGCCUGGCGUCAACUUUGCAGAGGAUGGAGCACUUGUGGGGAUGCCUGGCUGUGGAUUUCCUGGGCUCAAAGAUGAACUCGCAAGGGACUCCCGAAUACCGUGCCUACACACUUGCACAGCUGCUGGAACGUGAAGUUGUAAACUUGCCAAGGCGUAAAGAUGAUGACUGAUCGUAGCCUAAUAAAAUAAUUCGUAACUGCUUUUUUAAGGUAGGAAUAAUUAGUGCUCAGUCAUUAGCAAAUCGUGAAAAAUCAUUAUUUGAUGCGAUUUAAAUCUGUUAAUGCAGAUUUACUUUCCCCCUAAACACAUU